rnacentral:rRNA from 1 species
UACGGAGGUGGCUAGCGUUACUCGGAAUUAUUGGGUGUAAAGGGCAAGUAGGCGGCAUAAUAAGUGGGUGGUGAAAUACUCCGGCUCAAUCGGAGAACAGCCUUCCAAACUGUUGUGCUUGAGUAUACCAGAGGAAAAGGGAAUUCUAGGUGUAAGGGUGAAAUCUGUAGAUAUCUAGAAGAACACCAGCGGCGAAGGCGCUUUUCUGGGGUAUUACUGACGCUAAAUUGCGAAAGCUAGGGGAGCAAACAGA